rnacentral:rRNA from 1 species
UGCCUACGGGGGGCAGCAGUAGGGAAUCUUCCACAAUGGACGAAAGUCUGAUGGAGCAACGCCGCGUGAGUGAAGAAGGGUUUCGGCUCGUAAAGCUCUUUUGGUAGUGAAGAAAGAUAGAGGUAGUAACUGGCCUUUAUUUGACGGUAAUUACUUAGAAAGUCACGGCUAACUACGUGCCAGCAGCCGCGGUAAUACGUAGGUGGCAAGCGUUUUCCGGAUUUAUUGGGCGUAAAGCGAGUGCAGGCGGUU